rnacentral:lncRNA from 1 species
UUUAUGUAUGCGAGCAGGACCUUAAAUGUAGCUAUCGAAAGGGUGUGUGGUACCGUCUGUCCCGUAGUACUCUGAAAUUGAAGAGACUGCAUACAACUUGAUUAACCAGUACAUGCAUACAGUGCCUUUUGGAUAGCUUCAACGGGCAAUGGCAACCUUGGUCGACUAGAAGGUACGUGCAAUAUGCACGGUCACGUGCAAACGGCAGUGGAAGUGAAACGUGUUGUACACCAUGGGUUCGACCAUACCUCGUUUUUAGUGAAAAGAAGGAUUACCCCCCAGCCUGAAUGAUGAACACAGCAAUCUACUAAAAUGAACCAAGUAUUUAAAUAUCAAGAGCAGCUCCGGUACAAGAAACGAAAAUUUACACGAUGAAAUGCCAAAAAAAAUAACAUUGCAGUUUUAGUAACUACAUGACAUAUCUUUUUUUUUAAGGUAUCUACAUGACAUAUCUUGGUACAUUGAGAGAUUGACCAACAAUUACUUUCUUUGCAUGUUCAUAGUAUGUGUGAUACAGAAUUGAUGUCAUUAGCAUGUAGGAGCAUUUACAAGUAGCCUCAUGUUUUGAACAUGACUAUAAACAAAAUUUUGGAAUUUUGA